AUUGAACGCUGGCGGCGUGCUUAACACAUGCAAGUCGAUCGGUAACAGGUGUAGCAAUACAUGCUGACGAGAGGCGGACGGGUGAGUAACACGUGGGUGACCUGCCCUCAGCUCUGGGAUAAGCCUGGGAAACCGGGUCUAAUACUGGAUAUGACUCCAUGACGCAUGUUGUGGGGNGGAAAGCCUUGUGCGGCUGAGGAU
rnacentral:rRNA from 1 species